rnacentral:rRNA from 1 species
UGCAGUCGAACGGAGCACCCUUGAUUGAGGUUUCGGCCAAAUGAUAGGAAUGCUUAGUGGCGGACUGGUGAGUAACGCGUGAGGAACCUGCCUUUCAGAGGGGGACAACAGUUGGAAACGACUGCUAAUACCGCAUGACGCAUUUUGAUCGCAUGGUCGAAAUGCCAAAGAUUUAUCGCUGAAAGAUGGCCUCGCGUCUGAUUAGAUAGUUGGCGGGGUAACGGCCCACCAAGUCGACGAUCAGUAGCCGGACUGAGAGGUUGACCGGCCACAUUGGGACUGAGAUACGGCCCAGACUCCUACGGGAGGCAGCAGUGGGGAAUAUUGGGCAAUGGGCGCAAGCCUGACCCAGCAACGCCGCGUGAAGGAAGAAGGCUUUCGGGUUGUAAACUUCUUUUAAGUGGGAAGAGUAGAAGACGGUACCACUUGAAUAAGCCACGGCUAACUACGUGCCAGCAGCCGCGGUAAUACGUAGGUGGCAAGCGUUGUCCGGAUUUACUGGGUGUAAAGGGCGUGCAGCCGGGCAUGCAAGUCAGAUGUGAAAUCUCAGGGCUUAACCCUGAAACUGCAUUUGAAACUGUAUGUCUUGAGUGCCGGAGAGGUAAUCGGAAUUCCUUGUGUAGCGGUGAAAUGCGUAGAUAUAAGGAAGAACACCAGUGGCGAAGGCGGAUUACUGGACGGUAACUGACGGUGAGGCGCGAAAGCGUGGGGAGCGAACAGGAUUAGAUACCCUGGUAGUCCAC